AUUUAAAUAGCUUAUUUAGAGCAUAACAUUGAAGAUGUUAAGGUAGUAUUAUUACUUUUAAAUA
rnacentral:tRNA from 1 species